rnacentral:lncRNA from 1 species
CCUAACUUUUAGUUACUUUGAUAUCGUCAUGCGGUUUAUUUCGUUAGCUCUGCUGAUCUUGCUAAUAGGUCUGGUCCUAAUUGCCCCUCUUGGGACAGAUGCUUGUAAGUUUAACCAGUAAAAAAACAGCUAGUGUGGUGUAAACUAUAUUAUAUUACUCUUCUACAGCCUGUAAACAAGCUGGCAAACGCAUGAGAGAUCUAAUAGACUGGGACGAAGAUGGGAGCUGUGAUCGUUCCUCAUACCCCAAAGUCAUAAGCGAAACAGAGGAAGCCCUUGCCGAAAAUGUUGAUUCUGAUUCCGAUCAUGCUGAAGCAUCCUACUUGCCGUAUGAGUCUUUCUUCAGAAAAUUGAAGUGGGCCUUUGCGUUUGUGUACAAAAUUGUCAUUUGGUAUCUGAAUUUCAUUAAGGAAUAAAAUUAAAAUCAUGUGCCAGAGCUGUUAACAAAGCCUAAAUCCUAUUGCUUUACAAAUUUACGAUGUACGAGUAUCAAAAGUCAAGUUUUUCCCUUUCAUAAACAGAGUCACUUGCUUUCCAA